rnacentral:rRNA from 1 species
CAGUCGCCGCGGUAAUACGAAGGGGGCUAGCGUUGUUCGGAUUUACUGGGCGUAAAGGGUGCGUAGGCGGAUUGUUAAGUCAGGGGUGAAAUCCCGAGGCUCAACCUCGGAACUGCCUUUGAUACUGGCGAUCUUGAGUCCGGGAGAGGUGAGUGGAACUGCGAGUGUAGAGGUGAAAUUCGUAGAUAUUCGCAAGAACACCGGUGGCGAAGGCGGCUCACUGGCCCGGAACUGACGCUGAGGCACGAAAGCGUGGGGAGCAAACAGGAUUAGAUACUCCUGUAGUCCCUGUCUCUUAUAC